rnacentral:lncRNA from 1 species
UUUCUGUAAACAUUCGGGGAGGUGGCUGGCUGAUGGUGGUGAUGAUAAUUAACUGUGCAUGACGCUCCUGCAAGACGUGGCCUCUUCCUCCGUUUCGUCAUCCCACCCCAUCUGUUGGGCACUGAUAAGGUGGACAGUUUACCAGAAGAAUCAUACAAGAAUAUCAGAUGUGAGCAAAGAAUGUGUGAAGAAAGGAGCCCUGAUCCCUUCCUCUUUGCUUCUCCCAAUGUCAGGUUGACAAGAACACCAAUCCAUAGGAAAAUGCCUGACAAUAUUAUUAUGCUUCUUCAAUUAUUUCUGGGACGGCUGAACUAAAAGCGGUGGAAACGGGAGCCCUCUUAUGGAGAGAAUGAAAACAGGAGAAACCCUCAGAACUAGGUUGUAUUUGAAGGAAAUUUAAACCCUAAGAAGACCCAAGAAACCAGUCAAAAAUGCUCCUGAAAAGAUAUCCCAAAAGAGUUGGUUCUUGCCAGCGUAAACGCACCUACAUUUUUAAAACACAAGAAUUUAGUUUUGCUUCUGAAGACACAAAUAAGAAAGGAGAGGAGAUGGAAGUGCCUACCUCAUCUUGUGAUCCAGAAAUGAACUUCUUUCUACUUCUGACCAUUUUCUUUAUAACUCUACCCAUUAAUAAUGUGAGAACUGGUAAGAACCCUGUGUGCAGCUUUGUAAAAAUGUACUGGUUCCUGGCUGAAAAUGUUUAUUCUUAGCAGAUGAAAGAAAAGAAGUACUAUAGCUGCACGUUAGUGCAGCAAUGUUAUUGCUCAGCAGGGAAAAAGAAAAUUCUACAAGGCAGUUCUGAAAAUUGGGGGCAGCCCAAACAUAAAAAUUAUAGCUUUGAAACUGGACUUCAGAUCGGCACCAAAUUUGGCAUACAGAUAGCAGAGCGUCUGCUCUUGCGCUGUGCCAGAGGGUCUACAUCAGGGGUGGGUAACUUCAGCAGGUCCAGGGGCAGUAAUGUCCUAUACUGCUGGCCACAGUAAUGAAAAAUGAAAAACAAAAAAAAAUGCCCCCCCCAAAAGGGAACUUGCUUCCUUUCAGUUUUCUAAAAAUG